rnacentral:rRNA from 1 species
CAGUAGCCGCGGGAAUACGUAGGUGGCAAGCGUUGUCCGGAUUUAUUGGGCGUAAAGCGAGCGCAGGCGGUCAAUUAAGCCUGAUGUGAAAGCCCCCGGCUCAACCGGGGAGGGUCAUUGGAAACUGGUUGACUUGAGUGCAGAAGAAGAGAGUGGAAUUCCAUGUGUAGCGGUGAAAUGCGUAGAUAUAUGGAGGAACACCAGUGGCGAAGGCGACUCUCUGGUCUGUAACUGACGCUGAGGCUCGAAAGCGUGGGUAGCAAACAGGAUUAGAUACCCCUGUAGUCCCUGUCUCUUAUAC